rnacentral:rRNA from 1 species
CAGCAGCCGCGGGAAUACGAAGGGUGCAAGCGUUAAUCGGAAUUACUGGGCGUAAAGCGUGCGUAGGCGGUUUGUUAAGUCUGUUGUGAAAUCCCCGGGCUCAACCUGGGAAUGGCAAUGGAUACUGGCAAGCUAGAGUGUGUCAGAGGACGGUGGAAUUCCCGGUGUAGCGGUGAAAUGCGUAGAGAUCGGGAGGAACAUCAGUGGCGAAGGCGGCCAUCUGGGACAACACUGACGCUGAGGCACGAAAGCGUGGGGAGCAAACAGGAUUAGAUACCCCUGUAGUCCCUGUCUCUUAUAC